CCUACGGGGGGCAGCAGUAAGGAAUAUUGGACAAUGCCCGCAAGGGUGAUCCAGCCAUGCCGCGUGCAGGAAGACGGACCUAUGGUUUGUAAACUGCUUUUGAACAAGAGAAAACCCCCUUACGUGUAAGGGGCUGAUAGUAUUGUUAGAAUAAGCAUCGGCUAACUUCGUGCCAGCAGCCGCGGUAAGACGAAGGAUGCAAGCGUUAUUGGGAUUCAUUGGGUUUUAAGGGGGCGGAUAAGUCUGUAUUGAAAUCUUCUCGCUUAACGAGAAAACUGCCAUUGAUACUGUCAAGCUUGAGUACAGUUGCCGUUGGCGGAAUAUGACAUGUAGUGGUGAAAUACAUAGAGAUGUCAUAGAACACCGAUUGCGAAGGCAGCUAACGAAACUGUAACUGACGCUGAGGCGCGAAAGUGCGGGGAUCAAACAGGAUUAGAUACCCUAGUAGUC
rnacentral:rRNA from 1 species